ACGCGUCGUUGAAUCUCCGUAAGAGUUAGGCUCACACGGUAUAGAAAUUGUUUUUAAGGUUUUACAUCGAGGUCGGAGUCGUACAUCUUUACUGACUCCGACUCCACCUAAAAUUGCAUCCGACCCUGCAAUCCUGUGUAGAAGUCCUGAAGAAAUCCUGGAAAAGUCCUGGAAGGUUAUUCGGAAUUCCUUAAGCGGUGGUGGGUUUGAUUCUAUGCGGGUCGGUUAUUUUGGAUUCGUUUAAGUUUGAUUGGGAUAAGUUACAUUGUAUUAGGUGGCGUUGUGUGUUAGGUUGGGUUAGGUUGGGUUAGGUUUGAUUUGGUUUUAUUAGGUUAAGAUAAGUUCAGUUAAGUUAGGUAAGUUAAGGGUGCUUUAUAUAAGGUUGUUGUCUUACGGUGGGUUGGGUUGUCCUGGAGAAUUUUCAUCGUAUUCAUCGUUGGGACUUAUUGUAAACGUCCUUGAGAAUCCUGGAGAAUUCCUAGAAAAUUCGUGGAGAAAUCCUGGUAAUAUCCUAGAGUGGUGUCGGGAAAGUCCUGGAGACGUAAUGAGCAAAUUGUUUUGUCAUGGAGAAUUGCUGGAGAAAUCCUGUGAAGUCAUUUGUAAGUCCUUACGUGGCGGUUGGUUUUAUCCCAUGGUGGUCGGUUAUUUUGGAUUCAUUUAAUUUGGAUUUUAGAUAACUUACAUUGGAUUAGGUUGCGUUUAGGGUUAGGUUUAGUUAGGUUAGGUUAGGUUAGGUUUUAUAUGUUAGGUUAGAUAAGGUUGUUUUGUUUUACGUCUGGUUAGGUUUUACCCUGAAGUAUUUCUAGCGUUGUUCUAGGUAGUAGAUAUCUUGUCAUGUCUGUAUGUAGGUUUCCCCGCUACACUUCAUGGACAAAUUUCCCUUUUGCUUACUAGGUGGCAGUCAGUUCGUGAAAGUCGGAGUACAGAAGCGACAGCAAUAUAAAGUGGUUAACUCAGAUAAUUCAAUAAGCCACAUACAAAGUGUGAAACAUGCCUCCUCGUAGAUCGAGAAGUAAAAGGAAGACGCCAGCUAAAAGAAAAUCAGCGAGGAAAGUUAAGCGGCGCGCAGUUUCUAAGAGGAGGAGUCGCCCUACUACUGCCAAAAAAGCUGUGGGAGCUCUUAAUAAAAUGAUAGACAAAGCUGCAAAACAAGCAGUGAGAAAGAGUAUGAAGGCUAGUUCUAAACGUAGAAGGAAGUCUGUCUCAAGGAAAUCAACUUCUCGAAGAUCCAAAAGCAGCAAGAGGAAAACGUGAAUGUUUGGAAUUUGGGGUGAAUUUCUUCAUCCAGAUUACCAUUUUCACCACUCAUCAGUCUUUGUUGUAAUGUGCCUACCAGUUUGAAAUGUGUUGCAUUAUAUUCUCUGAACCUCAGAUGUAGGAUUUAAACCGGUAGCACUGUACACAAUUGUUGUCCAUUGUGUACAAUAUGCAGAAAUUGCUGGGCCCUGGUGUUGGUUUAUAUUAAAAUUUGUUAACAUUUUUGCAUAAUUAUCUUGCAUAUACUGUAUUAUAAAGUUUUCCAUCACACUUUGAUGAAAUACUGAUUAACAACUGUAAUACAGUGUGUCCACAAAGUCCCUUCGGGGAUUUGAAAAAUUGUGGCGCGCAAACAAAUUGAGCUAGCCACAUGCGGUUUGCGGCAGAUUACAGUGAAACUCUGGAAGCUUUUUUGCUGACCUCAGUAGAUCUUCCUUGGUAGCACGGAGAACGUCCAGAUAUUCGAGCUCUUGCCAUGUUCUGUUGAGCAUGUCCGCUGGAAUAGCCGAGAUCGCAUUUCCGAUACGGGUCUUCAGGUCAAGUCCGUUAACUGGUGACCUGAAGGCGUCUGGAUGUUCUCCAUUUUACCAAGGGAGCCUACAACGAGGUCUACUGAUGUCAGUAAAAAACUUCCAGAGUUUCAAUUCUGCUGCAAAUCGCAUAUGGCUAGCCCAGUUUGGUUGCGCGCCACAAUUUUUCAAAACCCCGAAGGGACUUUGUGGACACGCUGUACAUUUCAAAUGUAUUACAUCAUGUCUAAAUAUUUUGCCAUGCCCCAUUGAUUGAGAUUUGCUAUUUUGUGGGCUUAUGAUAAAAUUUAUUCAUGCAAAUGUAUUACUUGAAUUGCUUGCAAUUAAAAUUUUUAUUCUGUAAUGUACAGACAGUCCAUGCAUGGACAUGUUUCUGUUUUGCAAUAAAAAUUUAUCUGCAGUAGUACAAUUUUUUUAA